rnacentral:rRNA from 1 species
UACAGAGGGUGCAAGCGUUAAUCGGAAUUACUGGGCGUAAAGAGUGCGUAGGCUGAUAAUUAAGUCAGAUGUGAAAUCCCCGGGCUUAACCUGGGAAUUGCGUCUGAUACUGGUUGUCUAGAGUAUGGUAGAGGAUGGCGGAAUUUCCGGUGUAGCGGUGAAAUGCGUAGAUAUCGGAAGGAACACCAGUGGCGAAGGCGGCCAUCUGGGCCAAUACUGACGCUGAGGCACGAAAGCGUGGGGAGCGAACAGG